UGGGGAAUAUUGCACAAUGGGCGCAAGCCUGAUGCAGCCAUGCCGCGUGUAUGAAGAAGGCCUUCGGGUUGUAAAGUACUUUCAGCGGGGAGGAAGGUGUUGAGGCUAAUAACCUCAGCAAUUGACGUUACCCGCAGAAGAAGCACCGGCUAACUCCGUGCCAGCAGCCGCGGUAAUACGGAGGGUGCAAGCGUUAAUCGGAAUUACUGGGCGUAAAGCGCACGUAGGCGGUCUGUCAAGUCGGAUGUGAAAUCCCCGGGCUCAACCUGGGAACUGCAUUCGAAACUGGCAGGCUAGAGUCUUGUAGAGGGGGGUAGAAUUCCAGGUGUAGCGGUGAAAUGCGUAGAGAUCUGGAGGAAUACCGGUGGCGAAGGCGGCCCCCUGGACAAAGACUGACGCUCAGGUGCGAAAGCGUGGGGAGCAAACA
rnacentral:rRNA from 1 species